UCAAUCGCUCGGUAAGCAAAUUUCGUGAUUCAAACUGGUUGAUGAACGGGGUAAUGGCGAGAACGUAGUCCAUCGCCACCCGCGAAUGGUCCAACACAACUGCUUACAUUCGCCAGAUUUUCUGCGGACAGGCCCCCACAUCCAACCCACACUGGUUCAGUUGUGCUGUUUGGCCACACUCACGAAGAGAUCCACCGUUUGUCAUUACAUUCGAUUUGAUUAUUUUUGCAUCUGCAAAUUGGACUUCGUUCACCGAGAAACGUACAGCGUUUCACACAGGGGUUGAAAAACCCACCCCGACUACAUUACAACUGAUCCACCGGCCGUCCGAAAUUGUUCGUCCUACUACGCUUGCGUCCGGAAGAAUCGAUAUCAUGAAUACACUGAAUACUCUUACGUCUGCCUCUUCCAUUCUCUCGCUCUCCUGAUUGUGCUACCCCUUGCACUCCGAGCACAGCAAUCGACAGAACCGCACCGUUGUUUGUGGUCUUUUCCGUUACGUGCAUUUCCAAUUAAAAUGUGACAUAUUCACCCACUAAACGUAUGCAUUUAAAUUAA